UUUUUUUUUUUUUUUUUUCUGGUGUCGCCUUUGGAGAAGGAAGUGCAAACCAAUGAGUUGCGUUAUGUUGGUGUUCCCUCAUCGACAUUGCCAUUGGAGAGGGAAGUUCAACCCAAUGAGUUGCUUUUUGUGUUGAUGUUUCCUUGCCGGCAUCGCUUUUGGAGAGGGUUUGCUUUGAGUUUUGGUGCUUUGUGUUGUUGCCUUUGUGUAGGUCUUUUUGAAUCUAGCUUUUGAGCUAUUGUUCUCAUUAAGAGGAAGUGUUAAAAUUAAUGAUAUUCCAUUUUAAGGGAUAUGGAAAGUCCAUAAAGAUUUUAUCUAUUUCUAGUUAAUAAAUUUUAUAUAUUCCUAAUUAGUGCAAGAUUUAUAUUUCAAAAUGGGUAGGAAUUAUAUCCCUAAUUAAGUGGAGUGAUUAUAGGAGAUUUAUAUAUAUAAAUAAAUAUAUAAUCUAUUAUUUUAUAAAAUUAAUGAGAAAAUGAUGGAGCCCUUUAUGGUUUUUCCCUUCUCU
rnacentral:misc_RNA from 1 species